rnacentral:rRNA from 1 species
GAUGAGCGCUGGCGGCGUGCCUAAUACAUGCAAGUCGAGCGAACAGACGAGGAGCUUGCUCCUCUGACGUUAGCGGCGGACGGGUGAGUAACACGUGGAUAACCUACCUAUAAGACUGGGAUAACUUCGGGAAACCGGAGCUAAUACCGGAUAAUAUCUUAAAAUUCAUGGUUCAAUAGUGAAAGAUGGAUUUGCUGUAAUUUAUAGAUAGAUCCGCGCCGCAUUAGCUAGUUGGUAAGGUAACGGCUUACCAAGACAACGUUCCGUAGCCGACCUGAAAGGGGGUUCGGCCACACUGGAACUGGGACACGGUCCAGACUCCAACGGGGGGCGGCGGUGGGAAAUCUUCGGCAAUGGGCAAAGGCCGAACGAGCCAACGCCGCUGGGUGAAGGAGGGUCUUCGAAUCGAAAAACUCUUUGAUUGGGGAGAACGAAAUGUGUAAUUAACUGUUCACAUCUUGACGGUACCUAAUCAGAAAGCCACGGCUAACUACGUG